rnacentral:rRNA from 1 species
UUGACGGGGGCCCGCACAAGCGGCGGAGCAUGCGGAUUAAUUCGAUGCAACGCGAAGAACCUUACCUGGGUUUGACAUGGAUUGGUAACGGUCAGAGAUGGCCGCCCCCCUUGUGGGCCGAUUCACAGGUGGUGCAUGGCUGUCGUCAGCUCGUGUCGUGAGAUGUUGGGUUAAGUCCCGCAACGAGCGCAACCCUCGUCCACUGUUGCCAGCAAUUCGGUUGGGGACUCAGUGGAGACCGCCGGGGUCAACUCGGAGGAAGGUGGGGAUGACGUCAAGUCAUCAUGCCCCUUAUGUCCAGGGCUUCACGCAUGCUACAAUGGCCGGUACAAAGAGUUGCGACACUGUGAGGUGGAGCGAAUCUCAAAAAGCCGGUCUCAGUUCGGAUUGGGGUCUGCAACUCGACCCCAUGAAGUCGGAGUCGCUAGUAAUCGCAGAUCAGCAACGCUGCGGUGAAUACAGGC